AUUGAACGCUGGCGGCAGGCCUAACACAUGCAAGUCGAACGAGUCGCGGACGGGUGUGCUAUGUCUGGGACUCUGCCUGAUGGAGGGGGAUCACUACCGGAAACUGUAGCUAAUACCGUAUAGCAUCAGAUGUGCCCAGAUGGGAUUAGCGUGUUGGUGGGGUAACCGCUCACCAAGGCGACGAUCCCUAGCUGGUCGGAGAGGAUGACCAGCCACACUGGAACUGAGACACGGUCCAGACUCCUACGGGAGGCAGCAGUGGGGAAUAUUGCACAAUGGGCGCAAGCCUGAUGCAGCCAUGCCGCGUGUAUGAAGAAGGCCUUCGGGUUGUAAAGUACUUUCAGCGGGGAGGCGUUACCCGCAGAAGAAGCACCGGCUAACUCCGUGCCAGCAGCCGCGGUAAUAC
rnacentral:rRNA from 1 species